rnacentral:rRNA from 1 species
AUUGAACGCUGGCGGCAGGCCUAACACAUGCAAGUCGAGCGAGCGGCGGACGGGUGAGGAAUGUAUGGGGACUGCCCGAUAGAGGGGGAUAAAUACUGGAAACGGGGGAUAAUAGCGCAUACUCUAGGAUAACCCAUAUGGGAGUAGCUAGUAGGUGGGGUAAAGGCUCACCUCGUCGUCGAUCCCUAGCUGGUCUGAGAGGAUGAUCAGCAACACUGGGACUGAGACACGGCCCAGACUCCUACGGAGGCAGCAGUGGGGAAUAUUGAACAAUGGGCGCACGCCUGAUGCAGCCAUGCCGCGUGUAUGAAGAAGGCCUUAGGGUUGUAAAGUACUUUCAGCGGGGAGGCGUUACCCGCAGAAGAAGCACCGGCUAACUCCGUGCCAGCAGCCGCGGUAAUUC